GCAGAGGUGACUCCCCCGAAAUGCUGUACUCAUUGCAGCACUGCUGCUCACUUGUGUUUUCUUAGCGUUGCCAUGCAGGCUUUCUGCAGCUGUAGGUAGAGGCGUGCUGCCAGCAGUGCUGUAAUAUCCAUCGAGGGCCACCCAGAGGUUGUCCAAGAAGGAAACGCAACUAUUUCCAACUGAGCUCGGAGUCACGUCAAAUGUUCCUGGAUGAGCUCUGGCUUUCAUUUGAAAAUGUCUCGGUGAUAUGUGGCAUUCAGCAGAGCUGUCACCGUGCCCCUGCCCACACGCAGCAACGCCGCAGUGAUAAAAACCCCUGCUGGCUCUUCCUGGAUUUAAUUAUUUCUAAUAAAAUCUAUUUGUGCCUCAAAUUCUCAACUCAAAUUCUCUUCCAGCUUAUGCAUUUUUAAAUAAAGCAUGUAAUGCUGCUGCGUUAUUACAAAUUAUGACCACUGAGGUCUUGUUGCAUGCAGCAGCCAUAAGAAGGCUAAAGGUGUGGGUUCUUCCAUUUUAGCUGAAAUAAA
ensembl:lncRNA